GUGAUUCAGUGGAAGAAAAUAGGCGUUGUUACUGCUUCACUACAUUGCAUAGCAGUAUUUCACUGCACCAAAUAUUAAAGAAGACACAUAAUCAUGGUGCUGCACAACUAGCAGCCAAAAAAGAUUAGAGAUAUAGGUAAAGCUACACUUUAAAUGUGUCAAUUUCAUGAUAAUACACUGGAUAUAAUGUUUUAAUUGUAUGUUUUUGUUUUACAAGUCAAAAAAAAAGAAAUAGCUGCUGUGCCAGUAGCCUCCAUGCAGUUGUUAUUCUGGGCUGCAGAGCUCACAGUUGGAUGGAAAACAGCCCAUCAGCGGCUAGUUUCUGAGUACACUGAAUAGCUGAUUAGGCCUGUUAGUGCACCUGGUUCGCACCUGCGCAGCAUCUCCUCUGCUCCCAUUUAAUUGUGAGACGAGCAAAGUGGAAACAGGACCUCAGUUUAGGUGGUGGAGAAGAGGAUGCUGAGCAAGCUGGUGAACAUCUGAAUAUCCUGAACAACAUUUCUCAACCCCUCCAUGAAGUGUAGAGUUUAUGAGCGAUGCGGUCAUUGUGAGCUGCUGGUGGCCAUCAAACUUUAUGAUUCAUCCCCCCUCUGCUGCAGCACCGACCUCACAGACCUCUGAGAAUGCUGAUGUCUUCCAAUGGACAUCCCUCUUCACCACAGAACAAUACAAUCUAAACUCUAAACACCCAAUUCAUCUUAUAGACCAUUUACACAACUGUCUGGCACAAAUUUGUUAAUUCCACUUAAUCUGUUUGAUUUUAAUUUCUGUUUGUAUUGACUGUUCACAAUCUGAACAAUUAUAAUUUGUACAUUGUCACUAUAUGGCCCUAUUUCAGUUUAAUUUGACUUAUAUACUGUAUAUUUUUUAUCCAUGAACUAAUAUCUGCAUGGUUGUACUUGUACAUGACCUUGUACAUAUAUUUUUAGAAGAAAUCCCUUAUUACAUAGACAUUAUCAGAGUUUAUUGAAUAUAGUAGUUAAUUUAUGUCGUCACAAUCAAGAAGAACAGGGUCAAUAAAGACAGCUAACCUUUUUA